ensembl:misc_RNA Metazoa_SRP Metazoan signal recognition particle RNA
GCUGGGUGUGGUGGUGCACACCUGUAGUCCCAACUACUUGGGAGGCUGAGGUGGGAGGAUCGCUUGAGCCCAAGAGGUUGAGGCUGCAGUGAGCUAUGAUUGAGCCACUGCACUCUAGCCUGGGUGACAGAGUAAGACCUUGCCUCUA